CUUUUUUGGAGGUCCACUCUGCUGGAGUUUUGUAAGUGAGCCCAGGAUAUGGCUCCUGCCUGUGGGCACAGCUCAUCCGAUGGUUCUAGAAGCCUUCAAGAUAUCCCUCAUCCUAAAAAUUUGGAUGAUUCCAUAAGCACCUCCUUGCUGAAGCAGAAUACAGUCUGCCCUGUGAUCACUUUGAAGGGGCUGCAAAUUGUGGGGAUGCACUAUAGAUCUCCAGCCCUGCUUGAGAGGCAUUUUUUACGGUGCUUGAGGUGGAGACCUACAGGGACACAUUGUAUCUACUCACUGAAAGCCCCGGAGAGCAGUGAGACGCAGAGGAUUUCCUUCAGAAAUAUCAGAUCUUCCUACCUCCAGGACUUCAGCAAUGACCAGUCAAAGCCUGCUUAUAUUUGCACAGUAUGUAAGUGAGGAGAUUGCAUUAGAGUGAAAUUACAUCAGAACCAAGAUUCUCAUAACAUUAAAGUUCUUAACAUUUAAACAACCACACACAGAACACUGCUUUAGUUGACCUUUAAAUGUGCAAUCCAGUACCAUCAGACAGCAUUAGAGUUUUAGAGCAGCUUCGUGUGUUCCACCCACCACGCUUUGUCAGGCUGGUUAUGUCCUUCACCUGCUACUCUUUGAUCCUCAUUUCGCCCUCAUUUCUUCCUGAAUUUUGCUCUCUGCUCCAGUCAAACCUGUUGAGUUUAGGCAUGAUCUGUGAUUUUUGCAAAUGUUAUUGUCUCUGACGAGGUGAUGGCCUUUUUCACCUUAACACUCCAGUUCUUAUUAAAUGCUUAGAACAUACUAAAGUCUGUUUCCUUAAUGAAAUGCUCUAUGGAAAAAAAAAAAUUAAAAUAAAAAAAGCACAAGCAAGCAAAACCAGCCUGCAGCCUUUCUUUUCUUUCAUUUUUUUUUUGUCCUUGCUGCUUUUUUUUUUUUCUCUCCAGCCUUCUGAAGUCUGCCCUUUAAAAAGUUUGCGGUAUAUCACUGCUGUAGGACAUGGAUGGCAGUUACUAGAAUACUAAAGCUAAGUAUGCAGCGUGAACUACCAGCUGGAGACCUGCAUCUGUUCACCUCAUACAGAGGUGCCCUGUUCUUUGAUACUAACAUUGGCUGGAGUUAUGUCUAUGUACUGUAUUUAUGGUUUUCUGACUACUGUAUGUGACUCAGAUUUUUGGUCUAUCUGUUGAUGACCUUUUACCAGCAUUUGUCAUCCUACAGUUUGCACAGAAAAAGAAACGUACAUUGGAACUGUUAGAGAAUCCCUCAAAUAAUGAUCUCUUUCAAUGCUCUUCCAAAACGUUUAAGUGGAGAGGCUGAUACUUGCAAUGUUAAACAAACCUGUACUCCCAUUCCAUAGUAAGCAUUGCAAUGCCCGAACCGGAUGUGAAGACACUCCAUCAGCCUGUAUUUUUCAAAUACUCCUGUAGACAGUAAUAGCAAUCAACAUAACAAAGAGAUUACCAUGCCUCUUGCUAUUUUGUGUGUUUAUGUAUCCAAGAGAGAGACAUGUUAAUUAGACCUUACUACUGUCUCUUUUUCCAUGAAUAUUUCAACAUAACACUGUUAACUGCCUUAGGGAAUAGGUCAAUCAUGCUGAACUUAUAUCAUUGCAGGCAUAGCACUAACCUUCAUGCAGUGCACAUUUAAUAUCAAAACCUCAUAUUUUUUUCUAUGAUAUCCUACAACAAAUAUUAACCCUUACACUACUGUUAGUCAUCUACUUAUUUUCUGCAGUGUGAGAGGCUUUGCCAUUUAGAUAUCAGGGGUAUUAUUGCUAAAGGCUUUUAUUUCUUUAUUUUCUUUUAAUGGUUAAUUUAUAAAAUGCAUUGGUACAGGAGGGAGGAACUUUGAACUUGCAUUUGUGUAUUUUGCAGAUCUUUUUGAGAGAUCUAAUCCAUUCAACAGUAAGCUUAUUUAGCUAAAUAACUUUCCUUGAACAGCUUUCCCACUGAAUAUCAUAAAAGCUAGUUUAAAUUAGUAUACACUGAGAAAAUGCACAAAGAGAACUGAAAUUUCGGUUUUUACAGUUGUCUGAAAAAAAUUAAGGUAGGAACUGAAGUUAGUAAAGUAAUAAAUAAUUAUAAAUCUCUUGUUGUAGCCAGUAUUUAUGAGAAUCACAGCCCCAUCCCAAGGAUUAGGGCAAGAGACCCCAGCAUUCAGCUCUCUGCUGUUUCACAGAACUUGGUUGGCUGCUUCUUCUAGCUGAGUAUGCUAAAGGGUUGACCUUAUUUUCAUCAUUUCUACAAGGAAAUGUAGAACAGCUGAACUAUUGAUAUACAAGGCUAAUAUAUUUGUUAGCAAACUUGCACAAAAAAAUAUGUGGAUUGAGUUGUCACAUCCCUGAGCAGCUUCAGGUCAGUUUGCUAAAUGUCAACUACUCAUCAGCUACUGCCUGUAUAUGUUUAUUAAAGUGCACGCCCAGCAGUAAAAAUAACUUAGCAUUCAAUUUUAAGUAUUUCCUAAUGUUGAAAGUGUUUUUACUAGUUAGGUAGUGACUAUAAAAUCACACAAAAGACAUGCCUGUAUAUGUGCACACUAAAACCAAUUGUACAGAUGUAAGUUAGUCUGGUUGUGCUUCAUCCCAUCACAUAGAUCAAACAGCUAGAAUGACAUGCUCAAAGUGUAAAGCUUGCCAGAGUAGUCUUCACACUUAGUGUCCAUUGCAUGCUAGGAAGACACCUAUGAAAUUGCCCUUACAAUUUUCUGCAUGAGAAAGCCAAAGAGAUGAGGGACCACAUCAAAAGCAGCCUCAAAGUUUAGUAGCAGGGCCUCAUUGGCAACUAGGCUAUUGAGCACCACUGCAGUAAAGUGACUGUGAGUGGCUUCACACAGGACAGCUCAAAGUUUGUAACUUGCAAAAGCUAUUAUGGCUGUUUCAGUCUUCUAACCUGAUCACAAUCCAUUAUCACAUAUCAUUAAAGCCUACAGUUCAUGUUCUAAAUAUAAUCUGUUAAGUCUCAAGUGUAAUGCAAGUCUAUAUUCUCACUGUCAUUAGAUGGCAAUAGCAAAGCUGCCAGCUGGAGACUGCUUGUUACUUAUGUGUUCUGAGUUAGCAGUUCUCUUUAAAUCCCAGCAUUGGCAAAAAUAUCAAGUACUGUGUUUGCUACGCAUCCCUGUUGAGAGCUGGGAUAAAAAUGAAGGGAAAAGGUGUAAGAGCCUGCUGGUCAAGUAGUGGGUAUUUUAUAGAAAAUAGUUACAGUAAUGGAGCAAAUACAAAAGAAAGGUUUAGAAGAACAUAUCUCAAAAACUGCAUUCCACUUCCAAGUGGUUUUGAUGUAGCCUUAAGGUCUAGUGUUGUUGGCAAUGUCAAGUUGAUAGUGCAGCCUGUAGCUCAAGACAUGAAUUAUUUGUAUAUGAGCAAUAUAUUUUUCAGAAAUUGCAAGGGAGUGGGUAGACAGUUGAUUACUGGGAAAGCGAGAACAAUCAACAGCUUUUAUCUACUUCUAACUUGAAAAUAUUCUUUUUUCAUGCCCACUGCAUGAAUUCUAAGCAGGUAUUUUCCUUAAAGGAACUGUGUGUUCAGAACAAGAAUAGCACAAGCCUUUCUAGAAAUUCUGCAGUCUCAGCUGUACUUUUAGGUGUAACAUGAACAAAAUAAAUGCCAAGGAGUCAUUUUGAAGGAAAGAAUACAAAUUUUUACCAUCCAUAAAGACAGAAUCCAUUUUAGAGCACUGCUUAUAAGAGCUUCUGAAUCUCAUCACUAUUGUAUUUAUACCAACUUUUCUACUUUGUAGACUUUAUAUUUUAGCAGAUCAUGACUGCUUUACAGGUGUAAUAGCAGCUUAAUAUGAGAAAUCUUGUAAGAUCUAUUUAAACUUUUUUUCAACUUGCAAACACAGGAUUGAAAACUAAUCACGGUGUACAAAUUCUUAGUUCCAAAAGAAUCUAGUAACCCAGGCAGAUUUCUUUCAUUAAAUAAUUUAAAAAUCACUGAACAGAUGAGAAGUACUUCCUUUUUUAAAGUGAAUAUUAGUAUUGCAAUAUUGAUACCAUUUCUUUUGAAAUGGUCAACAAUAUUCCUGUGAUCAUUGUCUGAAUCAAAAAGUAAUGUCAUUCCAAGGGAUGUGAUCUAAUCUAGCCUGGAGUUAAUGAGU